GAGGAGGAGUAGUUGCGGGUGAAGAUGGCGGCAGCUGAGGCCGUGAACUGCAUCAUGGAGGUGUCCUGUGGCCAGGCGGAAAGCAGUGAGAAGUCCAAUGCUGAGGACAUGACAUCCAAAGAUUACUACUUUGACUCCUACGCCCACUUUGGCAUCCACGAGGAGAUGUUGAAGGACUAGGUGCGUACCCUCACGUACUGCAAUUCCAUGUUUCAUAACCGGCACCUCUUCAAGGACAAGGUGGUGUUGGACGUCGGCUCGGGCACCGGCAUCCUCUGCAUGUUUGCCGCCAAGGCCGGGCCCGCAAGGUCAUUGGGAUCGAGUGUUCCAGUAUCUCUGAUUAUGCGGUGAAGAUCGUCAAAGCCAACAAGUGAGACCACGUGGUGACCAUCAUCAAGGGGAAGGUGGAGGAGGUGGAGCUCCCAGUGGAGAAGGUGGACAUCAUCAUCAGCGAGUGGAUGGGCUACUGCCUCUUCUACGAGUCCAUGCUCAACACCGUGCUCUACGCCCGGGACAAGUGGCUGGUGCCCGAUGGCCUCAUCUUCCCAGACCGGGCCACGCUGUAUGUGACGGCCAUCGAGGACCAGCAGUACAAAGACUACAAGAUCCACUGGUAGGAGAACGUGUAUGGCUUCAACAUGUCUUGCAUCAAAGAUGUGGCCAUCAAGGAGCCCCUAGUGGAUGUGGUGGACCCCAAACAGCUGGUCACCAACGCCUGCCUCAUAAAGGAGGUGGACAUCUACACCGUCAAGGUGGAAGACCUGACCUUCACCUCCCCAUUCUGCCUGCAAGUGAAGCAAAAUGACUAGGUGCACGCGCUGGUGGCCUACUUCAACAUCGAGUUCACGUGCUGCCACAAGAGGACCGGCUUCUCCACCAGCCCUGAGUCCCCGUACACACACUGGAAGCAGACAGUGUUCUACAUGGAGGACUACCUGACCGUGAAGAUGGGCGAGGAGAUCUUCGGCACCAUCGGCACGCGGCUCAACGCCAAGAACAACCGGGACCUGGACUUCACCAUCGACCUGGACUUCACCAUCGACCUGGACUUCAAGGGCUAGCUCUGCAAGCUGUCCUGCUUCACUGACUACCGGAUGUGCUGA